rnacentral:lncRNA from 1 species
CAGGUUUUCAUGCUGAUAUGCACUGCAUACACAGUGAUAUACAGAAAACGUAGGGAAAAGAGCUGCUCAUAUACAACGGAUAUACAGGGGUGAAAAUGGGCUGAAAGUCCAUGGAAUUAGUCCAAGAGCUGGACAGGCCCAAAGGGGCCCAAUUUUAACUUCUCUAUUUAUUAUUCAUUCUAAUUUGUUUAUUUGUAUUUACUUGAACAUUUUAAUCAAUUAAUUUAGAUAAAUUCCUGUUGCCAUUUUUCUUUAUCUUCAUUUCUUUUCCUUUCUUUCACUUAUUCGAAUUUCCUUAUGCACUUCAUCUUGUUUUAAAAAGUGAAAAAACUACUCUAUGUUAAUCUUUUUUUUUGGAAACAAGCCUUUCACAUUAAGGUGACUUUUUUCUUGUUCAUGUAGUAAUUAGUGUCCUUUAGGCUAAAUAGAAUUUUCUUAAACAUAAAAAGAAAUAGUUUUUUGUCUUCAUGAAUUGGUUAUCUAAAAAAAUAGAAUAUUGAAUGAAAUAAAAGCUAUUUUCAAAAAUUGCUCGAUUCAAGUUUGAUAUUUCAUAAAAAAAAAAAAAGUUAAUAUUUUCAUAAAGUUAGCCACCCUUUUAAGUUAGUCAAAAUAUUUUGAUAAACUAUUUUAAAACGGACGUUCCUAAGUGCCUUAAAAUCCUUUUUAGGAGGUUAAUUGAACCCUUACCCAUUUUCCUUUUUAAAGGUUUAUUUCUAUUUUUGAACCUUUAGAAUUCUUUUAAGUUUUCUUGAUUUUUUUAUAAAAAUUAAGUGGCAGAUCUGUAAUUUUUCUCGAGUUAUUUUGAAAUUUUCCUAAGUUUUAAAAUGAUUUGAGAAUUCAAAAAUUAUUUUCUUAUAAAUAAAUUGUCUUUUCUUUGGUAAAUUCGAAGAGGGAUAAAAUAUCAACUUUUGUUGACUUUUCUAGGUGAGCAAUUGAAGUUUGAUCGUAAAGAAAAGACAUUACUUUAAACAUUAAUCCUACGUACUAGGAAAGAUGUUUCCUUAUUUAUUUUAUUUAAAUUCUUUAAGUUUUAUUCAAAAUUCGAGCAAAGACAAUGUGUUUGUUUGGAACUCCGAAAGAGUUUAAAAAUAGAUCAUCAGAAUUGGUUUAAUUUUCUGGUAUUUUUAUAAUACUUUGAAGUAGGGGUGACAAAUUUGCCCCAAGCCUAAAUAACCUGCAAUCAGUCUAGAUUAUAAUGGGUUGGGCAUGACCCAUUCUUAAGGUGGGCUAGAUUUGGGUAAACCCAACUUAACUUAUUUAUUUUGACAACCCAAAAUAAGCUCAUAAAUUUAGCCCAAAUUGACGCAUCCCAAAUUAAAAUGGUUGCCCUGAUUUCUCUGAGAUAUUCUAGGAAGUGCAAGUCUCGACUUUCAACUCCAAGUCAUUGUUUCUCUUUGAAUUCUUCAACAAGUUCCUUAUCAUUUACAAAUUUAUUGUAUGUUUACAUUUAUUUUCAUUUCUUUCCUCCCUCUCUAUGCUUGUUAAAAAUCAUGGUGAAGAAUUUUAAUAUUACUCAUAAUUUGAUUUUUUGUUGAAGGCCAACUAUUUUUUUUUCGUUUUUCAACUUUACUUGUAAUUUCAUUUGGUAAUUAAUAUAAAAUUUUAACUUAUAUUUUGUUGUAACUUGAGAUUUUGAAUUUUAAAUCCUAAUAGUUUUGAAAUUAUUAGGCAGACUUGUUGCCUAUAAGGUGUUUUCUCAAUUGCCUUAAUGAGUCUCCUUUGUUGUGCACAGUAAUUUUGUACUCUAAUAAUGAUUGAGAGUUAUUUGCUUACAUUUUUGUUUCUUCCCUCUUUUUUGUUGAUUCAAGACUAAAGAUUAAUUUUUUUAACAUUCUACUAUAGCAGGUGAAAAUAUUGAUAGAGCCCGAUGAAGUCAAGUAUAAUGAAAUAAUUAUUGCAAGUUCAUCAAAAUAGUGUAGGACUACUUCUAAAUUUUGGGACUUCUAUGAUGAGCUGCCAUUGAAUUAUGAUCCUUAUAAUAGACUUCAGUCGGAAUAUAAGAAGCACAAGAAAGUGUUUAUGGCUGACUCAGUAGCAGGAGAUACAAAUUUAAAGCAUCACGUAGAAAAACACAAGGAUAAAGUAACAAGAUAAAGAUAUGUCUAUUGAUCAUAAAGAAUAUUGUGAAGUUAUUGCGAAAAGUGCUAGAAAAGUGCAUAUAUUCUUUUAUCCUGCCAUCAAAACCAUCUAAAAAAAAUAUCACAAAAGUUGAUGUGAUUAGAAUAUAUGAUAACAAAAAGGAGAUAGUCAAGAAUGAGCUUUAAGCUAUUCUAAAGAGAACUAGUGAUGACAUCUGUAUAUCUUUGUCUUAUUGCACACUAUGUUGAUUUGGAUUAGACUUUACAAAAGAAAGUUCUCAUUUUUCGUCUUAUGCCUCCUCCUUAUAGCGGUGUUGUUUUGGGUUCAAAGUUGAUUCAUCUAUUGAAGAAAUGAAAAAUUGAGAAGAAAAUAUUUUCAAUAACUUUAGAUAAUAAUGAAGGUGU